AUUGAACGCUGGCGGCAUGAUUUACACAUGCAAGUCGAACGGUAACAGGCCGCAAGGUGCUGACGAGUGGCGAACGGGUGAGUAAUGCAUCGGAACGUGCCCAGUCGUGGGGGAUAACUACUCGAAAGAGUAGCUAAUACCGCAUACGAUCUAUGGAUGAAAGCGGGGGACCGUAAGGCCUCGCGCGAUUGGAGCGGCCGAUGUCAGAUUAGGUAGUUGGUGGGGUAAAGGCUCACCAAGCCAACGAUCUGUAGCUGGUCUGAGAGGACGACCAGCCACACUGGGACUGAGACACGGCCCAGACUCCUACGGGAGGCAGCAGUGGGGAAUUUUGGACAAUGGGCGCAAGCCUGAUCCAGCAAUGCCGCGUGCAGGAAGAAGGCCUUCGGGUUGUAAACUGCUUUUGUACGGAACGAAACGGCUCUGGUUAAUACCCGGGGCUAAUGACGGCACCGUAAGAAUAAGCACCGGCUAACUACGUG
rnacentral:rRNA from 1 species